GUAGGUGGCAAGCGUUGUCCGGAAUUAUUGGGGCGUAAAGCGCGCGCAGGCGGUUCGUUUAAGUCUGGUGUGAAAGCCCACGGGCUCAACCGUGGAGGGUCAUUGGAAACUGGAGAACUUGAGUACAGAAGAGGAAAGCGGAAUUCCACGUGUAGCGGUGAAAUGCGUAGAGAUGUGGAGGAACACCAGUGGCGAAGGCGGCUUUCUGGUCUGUAACUGACGCUGAGGCGCGAAAGCGUGGGGAGCAAACAGGAUUAGAUACCCUGGUAGUCCACGCCGUAAACGAUGAGUGCUAAGUGUUAGGGGGUUUCCGCCCCUUAGUGCUGCAGCUAACGCAUUAAGCACUCCGCCUGGGGAGUACGGCCGCAAGGCUG
rnacentral:rRNA from 1 species